rnacentral:lncRNA from 1 species
UUUUGAUAAACAUUGCAUCAUGACACAUAAGGGCUUUACAGGUACAUGCUUAAUAAACAUUUAAAAUUGCUGUAAAUUUUAAGUGCUUUGGAUCGUCUAUUCAGAACAGAUACCCUCGGGGCAUUUCCUUAAAAUUCCCUGCAGAUGAUCGUGAAUAUCUUCCCCAGUGAAGUCGCCAACAGACGAAUCCGGUGUCUUAUCCCUGCAGAGC